rnacentral:rRNA from 1 species
UACGAAGGGGGCUAGCGUUGCUCGGAAUCACUGGGCGUAAAGCGCACGUAGGCGGAUUGCUAAGUCAGGGGUGAAAUCCUGGAGCUCAACUCCAGAACUGCCCUUGAUACUGGCGGUCUCGAGUCCGGGAGAGGUGAGUGGAACUGCGAGUGUAGAGGUGAAAUUCGUAGAUAUUCGCAAGAACACCAGUGGCGAAGGCGGCCGACUGGUCCGGUUCUGACGCUGAGGCGCGAAAGCGUGGGGAGCAAACAGG